rnacentral:snRNA from 1 species
AGCUUUGCGCAGUGGCAGUAUCGUAGCCAAUGAGNUUUAUCCGAGGCACGAUUAUUGCUAAUGGAAAACUUUUCCCAAUACCCCGCCAUGACAACUUGAAAUAUAGUCGGAACUGGCAAUAAAUAAUAAUAAUAAGAAUACUGUUUGAUAUUA